rnacentral:rRNA from 1 species
AUAAUUGAGAGUUUGAUCCUGGCUCAGGAUAAACGCUGGCGGCGUGCAUAACACAUGCAAGUCGAACGAUGAAACUUAGCUGAUUUCUUCGGAAUGAAAUUAAGUGGAUUAGUGGCGAACGGGUGAGUAACACGUGAGUAACCUGCCUUACACAAGGGGAUAGCCUUUGGAAACGAAGAAUAAUACCCUAUAAAGUCAAAAUAUCGCAUGAUAUAGUGACCAAAGAUUUAUCGGUGUAAGAUGGACUUGCGUCUGAUUAGCUAGUUGGUGAGAUAAAAGCCCACCAAGGCGACGAUCAGUAGCCGGCUUGAGAGAGUGUACGGCCACAUUGGGACUGAGACACGGCCCAAACUCCUACGGGAGGCAGCAGUGGGGAAUUUUGCACAAUGGGGGAAACCCUGAUGCAGCGACGCCGCGUGAUUUAGAAGGCCUUCGGGUUGUAAAAAUCUUUUUUAUGGGAUGAAAAUGACAGUACCAUAAGAAUAAGGUCCGGCUAAAUACGUGCCAGCAGCCGCGGUAAUACGUAUGGACCGAGCGUUGUCCGGAAUCAUUGGGCGUAAAGGGUACGUAGGCGGCCUAGUAAGUUAGAAGUGAAAUAAUAUAGCUCAACUAUAUAAAGCUUUUAAAACUGUUAGGCUUGAGAGAUGAAAGGGAAAGUGGAAUUCCUAGUGUAGCGGUGAAAUGCGCAGAUAUUAGGAAGAAUACCGGUGGCGAAGGCGACUUUCUGGUCAUCAUCUGACGCUGAGGUACGAAAGCGUGGGUAGCAAACAGGAUUAGAUACCCUGGUAGUCCACGCUGUAAACGAUGAGUGUUAGGUUCUUGGAAUAAUCUGGGAGCCGCAGCUAACGCAUUAAACACUCCGCCUGGGGAGUACGCACGCAAGUGUGAAACUCAAAGGAAUUGACGGGGACCCGCACAAGCAGCGGAGCAUGUGGUUUAAUUCGACGCAACGCGAAGAACCUUACCAAGUCUUGACAUAAUACGGAGGGAAUUAGAGAUAGUUUCUUAAGACUUCGGUCUACUGUAUUACAGGUGGUGCAUGGUUGUCGUCAGCUCGUGUCGUGAGAUGUUGGGUUAAGUCCCAUAACGAGCGCAACCCCUAUCGUUAGUUACCAUCAU